rnacentral:lncRNA from 1 species
UAAUCCUUAUCUUUGGCUUGCUCGUUCAUAUCAAAAUAAUGGGUAGCGUGGCCUUGUUCAUCCUGGACAGCAUGUUCUAAAGGAUGGGCAGCAUGUAUCUGUUCUUCAUGGACGAAUCCAUCUUCCUGGACCUGGUCACUUCUUCAACUUCCUGACCUUGCUCUCCCGCUGCAUCAAGUGGUACAUUUAGAUCUAGGUGAGUUUUCAUGGAGGUGUUGAAGAAAUGGCUGUAUAGGAGAUGGUAGGGGAGCUCUAUGCGCUGAAUGUCU